AUUGAACGCUGGCGGCGUGCUUAACACAUGCAAGUCGAGCGGUAACAGGCGUAGCAAUACGUGCUGACGAGCGGCGAACGGGUGCGUAAUACAUGGGAAUCUGCCCUUUAGUGGGGAAUAACCCGGCGAAAGCCGGCUAAUGCCGCAUAAGAUCUUCGGAUGAAAGCGGGGGAUCGUAAGACCUCGCGCUGAUGGAUGAGCCCAUGUCGGAUUAGCUAGUUGGUGAGGUAACGGCUCACCAAGGCGACGAUCCGUAGCUGGUCUGAGAGGACGGCCCGCCAACAUGGGACUGGAACCCGGCCCCAACCCCUACGGGAGGCAGCAGUGGGGAAUAUUGGACAAUGGGGGAAACCCUGAUCCAGCGACGCCGCGUGUGUGAAGAAGGCCUGCGGGUUGUAAAGCACUUUCGGUGGGAACGAAAUGUGCCGGGCUAAUACCCCGGCAAGCUGACGUUACUCAAUGAAGAAGCACCGGCUAACUCUGUGCCAGCCGCCGCGGUAAUAC
rnacentral:rRNA from 1 species